GCCAACAUAAUUACCUGUGACACACUGGGUGGAGUGUUGGUGGUUACAAGUUAGCAGAUUCUGGUCCCACACAGUUCCAGGGGCACAGGGCAUCUCUUGGGGUCCGUAUGGUGCACACUGGAUGAAUUUGUGGCAGUCAGUGGGAUGCUGGAAAUACUGUUGACCACUUGAACAGUCUACACAGGGGAAAUAUGGACGGGUAGUUGUGGAUGGGGUCGUUGUUGUGGUUGUAGUUGUGUUUGCAAUAGGGGUACAGCCAACACAUCCGACACAGUUCCCAUCUGAG